GUAGGUGGCAAGCGUUGUCCGGAAUUAUUGGGCGUAAAGCGCGCGCAGGUGGUUCUCUAAGUCUGAUGUGAAAGCCCCCGGCUCAACCGGGGAGGGUCAUUGGAAACUGGGGAACUUGAGUGCAGGAGAGGAAAGUGGAAUUCCACGUGUAGCGGUGAAAUGCGUAGAUAUGUGGAGGAACACCAGUGGCGAAGGCGACUUUCUGGCCUGUAACUGACACUGAGGCGCGAAAGCGUGGGGAGCAAACAGGGAUUAGAUACCCUGGUAGUCCACGCCGUAAACGAUGAGUGCUAAGUGUUGGGGGGGUUUCCCGCCCCGUCAGUGCUGCAGCUAACGCAUUAAGCACUCCGCCUGGGGAGUACGGUCGCAAGACUG
rnacentral:rRNA from 1 species